GAGACAGCGCUAAUGUGGGAAUUUCCCAGGAGGUAGAGCGAAGAGAAACUUCCAUACAUCUCCUCCACACCCUUGGUACCAUGGACUUUGGUGAGGAAUAUGGAGCCAAAACUUGUUGCCUGUGGAAGAUGGCAUUUGUGAUGUAGUUUCAUGGAUGCAUGGAGUUUGACUGGAAUAGAUGGUGAUGGAAAGAAGAAUAAGAAAAGAAAUACUACUCUGGUCAAGUAAAUAGAGGAAGUGGAAGUUCAAAGAUCAAAGGUAACCCCUGGUGGUACUCAGGGCUCAUUCCUAGUGGACUCAGGGGACCAUAGGAGGUGGAGACAGAACUUGUGUUGAUCACCUGCUAAGCAAAUGCCCUACCCAAGAACUUGGAGAUCUCUGAAGCAGCUGAACGGAGUCUAAUUUGAAGCCUCUCUAUAUGUUCUGGUAAUGCCAUGUGCCUUUGUACCUUUGAGAAAAAUAUCCCUUCCUAGAUGACUUAAAAGGCUCCCAGAGUCCACUUGUUAUGAUUUAAGAAAACAAUAAGUUUCCAAGAAAGGAGAAUACUGUAGUCUCUGAACUUUCAGGAAAAGGAUGGAGCCAUAGCAGAACAGGUAGGGCGUUUGCCUUGCAUGCAGUGGGCCUGGGUUCGAUUCCUCCGCCCCUCUCGGAGAGCCCAGCAAGCUACCGAGAGUAUCCUGCUCACACGGCAGAGCCUGGCAAGCUACCCGUGGCAUAUUUGAUACGCCAAAAACAGUUAACAACAAGUCUCACAAUGGAGACGUUACUGGUGCCCGUUCGAGCAAAUCGAUGAACAACAGGAUGAUAGUGACAAUAUAAAUGAAUCCUUGAACAGCAGAACUGAAGGUACCAAAGUAUGAUGUGGGAGCAGGAGGUGAGUGGACUAGAAGGGACAUAAGCAAGCUGUGGUGGUGGUAGAUAUGCAAUAACUCUUCACAUCAAAUGUAUAAGUAUAAUAGUAUAAACAUAUUAACACUAUUAUAAACCAUGUUACCUCAAAAGUAAUAAUUAAGAAAAAAGAU